AGUGUUUGAUAAAGACCUCUUGAAGACAGAUGACAAAAUGGGACAUUCACAACUCAGCCUUCAACCACUUGUCUCUGCUGCUAGACUCAGGCAGAUUCUGCAGAACUUCAAUGGCGAGAUGGUGUUAAGGAAGGUUGUCCCAAAUAGUGACAACUGUUUGGUCGGAGAAAGCUCUAUCACUUGUGUCAAUGGUAAUGUUUAGAAAGCUCCAUAUUUAUUCUCUAGUUGUGAAUGUUUCUUGCUUGCUCAUUUGGAAAGCAGUUUUGUUCCAUAAUUAGAAGUUUCUACCAGUGCAAUUUAUUGGCUUGAUUGCUUCUAGGGUACUAGGAUUUUCUGAGGUCCAUUUUUAAAAAAAAUAUAUAUAUGGAUGUGGGUUAUCUUGAUACCAAAUGGUAUAUACUAAAUUUUGUGAACUUGUAUAAUUAUUAAUAUUUAUGUCAUAGUAAGGUUUUCUAGUUAAAAGUAGAUUUUAAGUCAGAUUUUUCAAUACUUGCUUCAGUACUUUUAAUUUGUUUUUGUCUCUCUUCAUAGUUUGAUGCUGCAAAAUUAAGAAAGCUAAGACCAAGUUUCAAGCAGAAUGAGGGCUCUGUUACUGCUGGCAAUGCUUCAAUCAUAAGUGAUGGUGCAGCUGCAUUAGUCCUAGUGAGUGGGGAGAAGGCACUUCAACUUGGAUUGCAAGUAAUUGCAAAGAUUAAGGGCUAUGCUGAUGCAGCUCAGGUCUUGUGACACCAAAAGCUAUUUCAAAUGCUGGUUUAGAUGCUUCUCAGAUUGAUUACUAUGAAAUAAAUGAAGUGUUUUCUGAAAGCCUUAACGUACAUGGUGGGGUUGUAUCAUUGGGACACCCAUUAGGAUGCAGUGGAGCUCGUAUCUUGGUCACAUUGUUAGGGGUAAUCUAUAAGCUUCCCUUCUCUUGCAAUGCAUUCCUAGUUUGACAUUCUAAUAUCAUUUAUAUAGUUCUCUGGUUUUGUUUACAUGUUUUCUUAAUGAUCUAAAGUCAUAGUUCGUGGUCAUAUCUAAGCUUAUGCUUUCUACAUAUACUCAUGUGAAGUGAUCUCGUGUUUGUCAUUUAUUCUUUUAAAUUUUUGUUGAGAGUUUAGCUGUGGAAUAAAAGAGACAUUG